rnacentral:rRNA from 1 species
AUGGCUUCUUUUGUGCUCCGAUCCGCCGGCCGCUUGCUCCGGCGACCUGUCUCCGAUUUUGUUGGGAAGAUCCGACCCAACAAGCAUUCUUGCUCAAAAUUCAGUACGGUACACGGAAAACAUAUCAAGGAAGAACCCAUCAGGACCGGCCCGAGCAUUAUGAUGAAAUUGGAUGAGCGCGACUGUAUCCUGUGUGAAGCUCACAAAGACAUUAAAGUAUUGCUAAAACAAGCAAGGGAUAAUGAAGCAUGGGACAAGCUACUGAAAAAAUUGUUAUUACCUUCAUCCAUUCUUGCCGCCCUUGCCUUUUGGAAGACAGGACAGGAAAUGCCUGUGGAAAAUAUACCUCCAAAUUAA